UCUUGGGUCGUAAACCUCUUUUCUCAGGGAAGAACACAAUGACGGUACCUGAGGAAUAACCAUCGGCUAACUCCGUGCCAGCAGCCGCGGUAAUACGGAGGAUGCAAGCGUUAUCCGGAAUGAUUGGGCGUAAAGCGUCCGCAGGUGGCUGUGUAAGUCUGCUGUUAAAGAGUGAGGCUCAACCUCAUAAAAGCAGUGGAAACUACACGGCUAAAGUGCGUUCGGGGCAAAGGGAAUUCCUGGUGUAGCGGUGAAAUGCGUAGAGAUCAGGAAGAACACCGGUGGCGAAAGCGCUCUGCUAGGCCGCAACUGACACUGAGGGACGAAAGCUAGGGGAGCGAAUGGGAUUAGAUACCCCAGUA
rnacentral:rRNA from 1 species